rnacentral:rRNA from 1 species
AUUGAACGCUGGCGGCAGGCCUAACACAUGCAAGUCGAGCGGAUGAAGGGAGCUUGCUCCUGGAUUCAGCGGCGGACGGGUGAGUAAUGCCUAGGAAUCUGCCUGGUAGUGGGGGAUAACGUCCGGAAACGGGCGCUAAUACCGCAUACGUCCUGAGGGAGAAAGUGGGGGAUCUUCGGACCUCACGCUAUCAGAUGAGCCUAGGUCGGAUUAGCUAGUUGGUGGGGUAAAGGCCUACCAAGGCGACGAUCCGUAACUGGUCUGAGAGGAUGAUCAGUCACACUGAAACUGAGACGCGGUCCAGACUCCUGCGGGAGGCAGCAGUGGAGAAUAGUAGACAGUGGGCGAAAGCCUGAUACAGCCAUGCCGCGUGUGUAGAGGAGGUCUUCGGAUUGUAAAGCACUUUAAGUGGAGGAAAAGGGCAGUAAGUUAAUACCGUGCCGUUGAGACGUUACAAACAGAAUGAGCACCGGCAAACCGCG